CCUACGGGAGGCAGCAGUGAGGACUAUUGGUCAAUGGGCGCGAGCCUGAACCAGCCAAGUCGCGUGAAGGAUGACUGCCCUACGGGUUGUAAACUUCUUUUAUAAAGGAAUAAAGUGAGGCACGUGUGCCUUUUUGUAUGUACUUUAUGAAUAAGGAUCGGCUAACUCCGUGCCAGCAGCCGCGGUAAUACGGAGGAUCCGAGCGUUAUCCGGAUGUAUUGGGUUUAAAGGGCGCGUAGCUGGGAUGUUAAGGCAGUUGUGAAAAUUUGCGGCUCAACCGUAAAAUUGCAAUUGAUACUGGCAGUCGUGAGUACAGUUGAGGUAGGCGGAAUGCGUGGUGUAGCGGUGAAAGGCUUAGAUAUCACGAAGAACUCCGAUUGCGAAGGCAGCUUACUAAACUUCCACUGACAUUGAUGCGCGAAAGUGUGGGUAUCAAACAGGAUUAGAUACCCCUGUAGUC
rnacentral:rRNA from 1 species